UACCAUGAUGAGGGCAUUUCCAUAAUAAUUCUUUAAACCGUUCCCAUGCCUCAUACAAGGACUAAUUAUCAAAUUCCUGAAACA
rfam:Gossypium hirsutum cultivar TM-1 chromosome 16, whole genome shotgun sequence